AAACCAUGAUGAGGGCAUUGUAUGGUGUAACACCUGAACCUCUCCAAGCUUCACCAUAGCUCUCUAGAUUCUUCUAGUGAAAACCAUAAAUCUCAUUUUUUAUCCU